ACUCUCUUGCUCGGGUCUGAAGCAAUACUGAUCAAUAUGCAUGGCAUAGCAUAUUGAUCAGUAUUGCUUCAGACCUGAUGAAAACUGGAAAACUCU